GAGCUGAGGACACGCCGCGUGAGUGAUGAAGGUCUUCGGAUCGUAAAACUCUGUUAUUAGGGAAGAACAUACGUGUAAGUAACUAUGCACGUCUUGACGGUACCUAAUCAGAAAGCCACGGCUAACUACGUGCCAGCAGCCGCGGUAAUACGUAGGUGGCAAGCGUUAUCCGGAAUUAUUGGGCGUAAAGCGCGCGUAGGCGGUUUUUUAAGUCUGAUGUGAAAGCCCACGGCUCAACCGUGGAGGGUCAUUGGAAACUGGAAAACUUGAGUGCAGAAGAGGAAAGUGGAAUUCCAUGUGUAGCGGUGAAAUGCGCAGAGAUAUGGAGGAACACCAGUGGCGAAGGCGACUUUCUGGUCUGUAACUGACGCUGAUGUGCGAAAGCGUGGGGAUCAAACAGGAUUAGAUACCCUGGUAGUCCACGCCGUAAACGAUGAGUGCUAAGUGUUAGGGGGUUUCCGCCCCUUAGUGCUGCAGCUAACGCAUUAAGCACUCCGCCUGGGGAGUACGACCGCAAGGUUGAAACUCAAAGAAAUUUUGACGGGA
rnacentral:rRNA from 1 species